UAAGUCGAUCCCUUAUCUAUUCUUUCUUCCUCACUCCGCCCGAUCCUUUCUACCCUCUCCUCUCACGCGCCGACGCCUUCCACCUCUUCCACCCGAUUGACGCCGACCAUCUUCAGAUCAUCGGCGCGGACCACUCAAGCUUCGAUCCGGCCAUCAUCUUUCCAACCCUAGCAACGGACCCCUCGAGCUUCAAUGCCGAUGAGCUCUGCUCAUCAUUUCACCUGAUUGCGCCGACGGUCUCAGCAUCGACGCACACUCACAGCCGAUCUCCCGAUGUAGAACCAGCUGCUGCUCGCCGGAGCAUCCUAACCCAUCUUCCCUUGCCUAUAACCCUGCCUCCUACUCUCUCAUUCGGAUCUCUGCUUCGCACCGGCCGAACUUCAGCGAUAAGGUGGAGAAUCCUAGCCCUUGCUUUGCUGGAUUUGGAGCGCUGGAAUCGGUGGUGAUCGGCAGUUUGGAAGGUGACUUCUCGCCUUCCCAAGUCCUGAAGCUGAGCAUACCUCUUCUCCAUUUUUGGGGGUUUCCGAUACUGAUUUAGGUUAAGUGGCUCACUGUGAGGAGCUCGGCUACAACUCCCAGCAGUUAUUCUUCAUCCGAGAAGCAUUAGGUAGCAGGUAAAGGAUUAUGGAGUCGCUGGAGAUCUGUCUUCAGUCCCACGUCACAUU